ACAUUUCUUUUAGCUGGUCUUCUGAAAUGAGAAUAACAGGUUGUAUUUGAUCAGGUAUUCUCCAUCAUUUUGUUACAGAGUAAUUGUCAUGUCUGCGUUGGCAGGUGACAGUAGAACUACAAAAAUAAAAAAAAUAAAAAUUCUGAGGCAGUGGUUUAAUGCCCACCCUUGACCUUAAGGCUCAUGGUUUUCCAGGCUUUGACCUCAAUGAUUCAAUGGUUUGGUCAUCUGAAACAGGUUGUAUUUGAUCAGGUAUUCUCCAUCAUUUUGUUACAGAGUAAUUGUCAUGUCUGUGUUGGCAGGUGACAGUAGAACUACAAAAAUAAAAAAUAAAAAAAUUCUGAGGCAGUGGUUUAAUGCCCACCCUUGACCUUAAGGCUCAUGGUUUUCCAGGCUUUGACCUCAAUGAUUCAAUGGUUUGGUCAUCUGAAGAAAAUUUAAGGCAUUUUCAAUGCAUAUGGAAUAAUGUUUUUUUUUUUUUUGUAAAUUCAAUUUAGGUACCAAACAAUCGGUACAACAUACAAUACUACUUUUACUGGAACGUUUUUUUUAGAUUACUUUCAUAAUAUAAACAUUUUGGAUGUCAAACUAAACUUUUAGGUCUC